UUUCUGUUUCAUAUGCCCAGAUGGUAAUCUGUUUGCUUUGGGGUGAAUUCAUGAAAUGAAGCAUCUGGAGUUCUGAGUGUUUCGAUUUGCUUGACUAGCUGCACCAAGCCCUUGACUACUGAACAAAAUAUUUGCUGCUGGAGCUCUUAUCCUGAAACUAAUGUUGCCAAAGGUAAGCGAGCAGCAGAGCUGGAAACCGUGGCAGUAAAUUAUUUGUCUUUCUUGCUUGUAUCCAUGGAUCCUGGAUUUUGCAAGCUGUGUUAG
rnacentral:lncRNA from 1 species